AGCGGCUCGGGCGGCGCAGCCCGCGCUCGGGAGACAACUGCAGAGUCGGGAAUCGGGUGGCUCGGGCCACCCCUCCUUCGCCCGGCCCCCCGCCCGCAGUCGCGGAGCGCGGCGUCGAGAGAUUGUCUGUGGUUGCUUUCCUUCACCGCGGGAGAGCUGAGAAGUUGCAACAGAGACGAUAAUAAGCACUCAGCAUGCAUGCUGUUAAGAAGCUUCAAGACACUCGGGACACGUGUGUGUAUCUGUGUGGCCACUCCAUGGACGUGUGCAUCAGCACUUUGAAGACUGUUCGGAGACCCGUGAGAAAUGCAUGAGGGAUUUCAGUGUCUUCAGUUGCAGACUUCGCAGGUGGGCGAGCCCCGAGGAGUAUCAGGGGCUGCCGUGACCUUGCCUACCACAGACAGUGACGGGUGGCUCUCAGCUGCCUCCACCUCAAAGAGAUAUUUUUUCUUCCUGAAGAGAGAAGAGAUUGCCCAUCAUUGGAACAAGGUGUUUGCUGCAUGGCCUGGAAGGAGUUCCCGAUUCCCUGUGGGCGUUGCCUCACGCGUCUGAGAGCCUGGAAGUGAAUACAGCCUACUCUGAAAGGGUGCUUCUUGUUGAAGGUCAGAGGAGAGAUGGAGGGUGCGGAGAGCUGCGAGGUGCCCUCCCAGGGUGAGAGCAGGAAUGGCGGCCUUCUCAGCGGUGGCCCCUUCAAAACCAGUGCCAAGAUGUCUCCUCUGAAUGGACACAGACAGACGGUGGCUGGGCAGGUCUAUAUCGUUCUGAAAUGCGGGGAAGUGGUUUGUCAAUUCAGGGCAUUCCAUCCGUGUUCAUUCCGUGUUGUCUUCAAUGCCCAGGGCACUCUGGGGAUGCUGGAGGUUAAAUGUGAAUACU